AACGUACGCUGGCGGCACGCCUAACACAUGCAAGUCGAACGCAGUAGCAUUACUGAGUGGCAGACGGGUGAGUAACAUGUGGGAAUCUGCCUUGUGGUUCAGGACAACAUUGGGAAACCGAUGCUAAUACUGGAUAAGCCCUUACGGGGAAAGUUUUAAUGCCAUAAGAUGAGCCCGCAUUGGAUUAGUUAGUUGGUGAGGUAAUGGCUCACCAAGACAAUGAUCAAUAGCUGAUCUGAGAGGAUGAUCAGCCACACUGGGACUGAGACACGGCCCAGACUCCUACGGGAGGCAGCAGUGGGGAAUCUUGCACAAUGGAGGAAACUCUGAUGCAGCGAUGCCGCGUGAGUGAAGAAGGCCUUUGGGUUGUAAAGCUCUUUUGUAGGGGAAGAUAAUGACUGUACCCUAAGAAUAAGGUCCGGCUAACUUCGUGCCAGCAGCCGCGGUAA
rnacentral:rRNA from 1 species